CGGGGUAUAACGCAGUGGUAGCGUGUUUGUUUUGGGAACAAAAAGUCGUAUGUUCAAAUCAUACUAUCCCGA
rnacentral:tRNA from 1 species